GGCUAUGUCGCCAUCCCUUGCUGCCCAGUGAUAUUUGAUGGGGCUAAUUAUGCCGAGUUUGUUGCCUUCAUGCACAUUCACAUGCGUGGCCUUCGUCUCUGGGGCGUUCUUGCCGGUGAGGUCCCCUGUCCUCCGCGCCCAGUCCCUCCUGUGGCUCCUACUCCAUCACCGAUGCCACCAGCUCUCGCUGUAGAUGCUUCUGAUGAUGAUAGGGCUGCAGCCAGGGUUGCUGCUGAUGAUGCGGCUGCUGCUUAUGACCAACAGGUCUUGGAUUAUUCGGAUGCUCUUUUCGUUUAUCGUGAUGAUUUGACUGCUUACACUCAGUGGUGUGAUGAUGAUGCUCGCGCUACGGCUGUCCUCACUUCCAGUGUUCUUCCUCAGUUUGCUUCCGAGUUUAUGGGUCUCAGUAUUGUCUUUGAGAUGUGGACUCAUUUUCGCCAGCGUUAUCAGCCCUUUGGUGAUGCUCUCUACUUGUCUGUGGUCCGUCAGGAGCAUGCUCUUCAGCAGGGAGACUCCACUAUUGAUGAGUUCUACACUCAGAGUUCUGCUAUCUGGCGCCAGCUUGACUCUCUUCGCACUGCUAUAUGUGGCACUUGCCCAUGUUGCCAGACUGAGAUCAGACUUGGAGUUUCAGCGCGUCUAUGA
rnacentral:rRNA from 1 species